UGUAUUUUUAUUAGUUAUGGAAUAUAUUUCCACUGCAUACAAAUGAAGUUGAUUGCUUGAGAUAUUAUUAAUAUAUGUUGGGGUGCGGGACUAGGCUCACUGAGUAAACUAGUUACUCAUGACUCAGUUGUGAUGCAGGUAACCAGUAGACGGGAGACCUUAAUCUAGGGCGGGAAGGAACAUCAUUAGCCAGCGGUAGUUUUAUUAUCCUUGCAAAGUCAUUUUGAUAUAUCUUAUGUAUAAGAUUUGUUGAUCGAAAACCUCGAGGUUAAUUUAUAACAAAUUUUGUAAGAUGCUUUUGAUUGAUAUAUAAAUAAUAUUUUUUUUGAAGUACGGGUUCCAUAUGAUAUUAGUCCUUGUCCGGACGAACUAACUAUCGGGUAUUGCUUUGUCGGGUUGACAAGCCUAGAGUGGUAUCCGAUAGGAGCGUUGGUGUUCUUUGGUUGUUGGUCUACGGCGAUCGGAAGUAUUCUGAGAAC
rnacentral:lncRNA from 1 species